AGUGAACGCUGGCGGUAGGCCUAACACAUGCAAGUCGAACGGCAGCACAGUAAGAGCUUGCUCUUACGGGUGGCGAGUGGCGGACGGGUGAGGAAUACAGCGGAAUCUACUUUUUCGUGGGGGGUGACGUAGGGAAACUUACGCUAAUACCGCAUACGACCUACGGGUGAAAGCAGGGGAUCUUCGGACCUUGCGCGAUUGAAUGAGCCGAUGUGGGAUUAGCUAGUUGGCGGGGUAAAGGCCUACCUAGGCGCUGAUCCGUAGCUGGUCUGCGGGGAUGAGCGGCACCCCGGAACUGAGACACAGUGCCGACAUCGUCACUGAGGCACCGCGGGGAAUACUAGGGGAUGGGGCCAAGGCCAAUCCAGCCCAAUCGGGGAGGUCCAGAAGGCCCUUGGGUUGUAAAGCCCUUUUGUUGGGAAAGAAAAGCAGCAGGUUAAUACCCCGCUGUUCUGACGGUACCCAAAGAAUAAGCACCGGCUAACUUCGUG
rnacentral:rRNA from 1 species